rnacentral:lncRNA from 1 species
GGAGGAUAUAAUAUGAAUAAGAAGCUACAAACCAAAAGAAAUAGAGGAGCAAUGGGAAACAAGUGUAAACACAGUCAAAUCACACCCAAAACUUCUAAUUCAAUCCUCUUCUCGACUCCAUUAUUCACAAUACUUUUUUUUCUCAUUUUUCUGUAUUUUUUUUUCUUUUUUUUUCAUCUUGUCUCUUUUUUUUUCUCUCUUUUCAGAACACAACUCUAAUAGACAAGA